AUUGAACGCUGGCGGCAUGCCUUACACAUGCAAGUCGAACGGUAACAGGUCUUCAGAUGCUGACGAGUGGCGAACGGGUGAGUAAUACAUCGGAACGUGCCUAGUAGUGGGGGAUAACUACUCGAAGGAGUGGCUAAUACCGCAUGAGAUCUACGGAUGAAAGCAGGGGAUCGCAAGACAUUGUGCUACUAGCUCGGCAGAUGGCAGAUUAGGUAGUUGGUGGGAUAAAAGCUUACCAAGCCGACGAUCUGUAGCUGGUCUGAGAGGACGAUCAGCCACACUGGGACUGAGACACGGCCCAGACUCCUACGGGAGGCAGCAGUGGGGAAUUUUGGACAAUGGGCGCAAGCCUGAUCCAGCAAUGCCGCGUGCAGGAUGAAGGCCUUCGGGUUGUAAACUGCUUUUGUACGGAACGAAAAGCCCCGGGUUAAUACCCUGGGGUCAUGACGGUACCGUAAGAAUAAGCACCGGCUAACUACGUGCCAGCCGCCGCCGUAA
rnacentral:rRNA from 1 species